GGGGGAACUGAAACAUCUAAGUACCCCGAGGAAAAGAAAUCAACCGAGAUUCCCCCAGUAGCGGCGAGCGAACGGGGCGCAGCCCAGAGUCUGAAUCAGCUUGUGUGUUAGUGGAACGGUCUGGAAAGUCCGACGGUACAGGGUGAUAGUCCCGUACACCAAAAUGCACAGGCUGUGAACUCGAAGAGUAGGGCGGGACACGUGGUAUCCUGUCUGAAUAUGGGGGGACCAUCCUCCAAGGCUAAAUACUCCUGACUGACCGAUAGUGAACCAGUACCGUGAGGGAAAGGCGAAAAGAACCCCGGCGAGGGGAGUGAAAAAGAACCUGAAACCGUGUACGUACAAGCAGUGGGAGCACCUUCGGGUGUGACUGCGUACCUUUUGUAUAAUGGGUCAGCGACUUAUAUUCUGUAGCAAGGUUAACCGUAUAGGGGAGCCGCAGGGAAACCGAGUCUUAACUGGGCGUUAAGUUGCAGGGUAUAGACCCGAAACCCGGUGAUCUAGCCAUGGGCAGGUUGAAGGUUGGGUAACACUAACUGGAGGACCGAACCGACUAAUGUUGAAAAAUUAGCGGAUGACUUGUGGCUGGGGGUGAAAGGCCAAUCAAACCGGGAGAUAGCUGGUGCUCCCCGAAAGCUAUUUAGGUAGCGCCUCGUGAAUUCAUCUUCGGGGGUAGAGCACUGUUUCGGCUAGGGGGUCAUCCCGACUUACCAACCCGAUGCAAACUACGAAUACCGAAGAAUGUUAUCACGGGGGACACACGGCGGGUGCUAACGUCCGUCGGGAAGAGGGAAACAACCCAGACCGCCAGCUAAGGUCCCAAAGUCAUGGUUAAGUUGGGAAACGAUGUGGGAAGGCACAGACAGCCAGGAUGUUGGCUUAGAAGCAGCCAACAUUUAAAGAAAGCGUAAUAGCUCACUGGUCGAGUCGGCCUGCGCGGAAGAUGUAACGGGGCUAAACCAUGCACCGAAGCUGCGGCAGCGACACUAUGUGUUGUUGGGUAGGGGAGCGUUCUGUAAGCCUGCGAAGGUG
rnacentral:rRNA from 1 species